AUAAUGGGUCAGCGACUUAUAUUCUGUAGCAAGGUUAACCGAAUAGGGGAGCCGAAGGGAAACCGAGUCUUAACUGGGCGUUAAGUUGCAGGGUAUAGACCCGAAACCCGGUGAUCUAGCCAUGGGCAGGUUGAAGGUUGGGUAACACUAACUGGAGGACCGAACCGACUAAUGUUGAAAAAUUAGCGGAUGACUUGUGGCUGGGGGUGAAAGGCCAAUCAAACCGGGAGAUAGCUGGUUCUCCCCGAAAGCUAUUUAGGUAGCGCCUCGUGAAUUCAUCUCCGGGGGUAGAGCACUGUUUCGGCAAGGGGGUCAUCCCGACUUACCAACCCGAUGCAAACUGCGAAUACCGGAGAAUGUUAUCACGGGAGACACACGGCGGGUGCUAACGUCCGUCGUGAAGAGGGAAACAACCCAGACCGCCAGCUAAGGUCCCAAAGUCAUGGUUAAGUGGGAAACGAUGUGGGAAGGCCCAGACAGCCAGGAUGUUGGCUUAGAAGCAGCCAUCAUUUA
rnacentral:rRNA from 1 species